rnacentral:hammerhead_ribozyme from 1 species
GUCCAGAUGAAGAGUCCCUAAUGGGACGAAAUACGCGUCCUGCAU